AAGUGUUACAGCUCUUUUAGAAUUUGUCUAGCAGGAUUUCUGGUUUCUGGUGGAAAGCUCCCAU
ensembl:snRNA RNU7-43P RNA, U7 small nuclear 43 pseudogene